rnacentral:tRNA from 1 species
GUUCAGGGAUGGGGGAAUCGAACCCACAGUGUUCCGUUUACCAGGCAGAUGCCAUGUCCACUAGGCUACCCUGGA